rnacentral:rRNA from 1 species
UACGGAGGGUGCAAGCGUUGUUCGGAAUUAUUGGGCGUAAAGGGCGCGUAGGCGGUUGCGUUAGUCAGAUGUGAAAUACUUCGGCUUAACUGAAGAACAGCAUUUGAUACUGCGUAACUAGAGUACAGAAGAGGGAAACGGAAUUCCCGGUGUAGAGGUGAAAUUCGUAGAUAUCGGGAGGAACACCAGUGGCGAAGGCGGUUUCCUGGUCUGAUACUGACGCUGAGGCGCGAAAGCGUGGGGAGCAAAC